UUAUUAUUAACAUCUGAAUAAUUUUAUGCUUGUAAUGCCAUGUAUGAAAAUUUAAACUACAUACGUAAAUUUUUUUUGCGCCACAGAAACCUACAGCAAGGCCCAGGAACUGUCCAGGAGAGCAGAGGUUACGUCAAAUGUUGAAACAGAACCUGAAGGUCCAAAAAGCAGAGUUACCAAAAAGCCUGCUAGAUAUGACUUCUCAGAUGAAGCUGAUGAUGAAGGCGAUAAUCCUGAGUUCUCCCACACUCCAUCUGUAGCUGUUCUGCCACAAUCUCCUCACCUAAAUGUUGGACUUUCCAAAACAAGCUCGCAUCAUACCAAAAACUCAGUUGUUCAUGAAAGAUUUUCCUCCCCAGAAUGGUCUGAUGCAUCCUUCAAAACCAGAUCCUCAUCACGGUCCUCAGAAAUAAUACAUGUUAACGCACAAGAUUUGAAAAAAAAAUACACAUCAGCUUCAUCAGACCGAGGUGCAACAGAACUUGUACCUGUUUCACAGACAGAGUUUGCAGAGUUCAAGAGCGCUGUAAUGGCAAACUUCAAGACAAUCCAGGAAAACCAGCGGCUGAUGUUAAGCUGCCUACAGUCUUCUUCCAGUGGGCUAGGGAUGAUGUGGAGGAUGUACUGCCAGCUCCAGUAAGCAGCUUGGAGGAACUGGAUGACCUAAACUCUAAAUUGGCUGAUCAAUCUUUCAAAAGGAAUUUGACACUGUAUUUGUCAUCUUUUGGAGGGCACAGCCUUGGCGAUGCUGUCCGGAGGAUUUU
rnacentral:lncRNA from 1 species